rnacentral:rRNA from 1 species
GUGAGGAAUAUUGCGCAACGGAGGCAACUCUGACGCAGCCAUGCCGCGUGCAGGAAGAAGGCGCUACGCGUUGUAAACUGCUUUUAACCGGGAAGAAACACCAGGACGUGUCCUGGGUUGACGGUACCGGAGGAAUAAGCACCGGCUAACUUCGUGCCAGCAGCCGCGGUAAUACGAAGGGUGCAAGCGUUAUCCGGAUUCAUUGGGUUUAAAGGGUGCGUAGGCGCAGCGUUAAGUCAGUGGUGAAAUCCUGCAGCUUAACUGUAGACUUGCCAUGGAUACUGGCGCUCUUGAGUGCGCUUGAAGUGGGCGGAAUGUGCCGUGUAGCGGUGAAAUGCUUAGAUAUGGCACAGAACACCAAUUGCGAAGGCAGCUCACUAAGGCGAUACUGACGCUGAGGCACGAAAGCGUGGGGAUCGAACAGGAUUAGAAACCCGAGUAGUCC